GCCGCCCCCUGGGGCGGCCCUGCAGAAGGCCCGACGCCUCCUCCGUCCCCGGGCGGAUGGGCCAAACUCCCGGCCUGGCCAAAGCACAGCUCCUGGCCGGCCCCGGACUUGCUUCCGCGCUAUUCCUCGGCAGAUGGUAGGGACUUAAUUCCGCCCGCUGCCCAGCUUGGCCGCAACCUAAUCGCCCCCGGCCGGGCGCCGGCCCCUCGCCCUCCUUUGCGCAGCAGGCCCUGGGCCCGGGCAAAGGGCAGUGGAGCCCCGCCCUACCCGGGUCCCUUCACUCUCUUCUACUU
rnacentral:lncRNA from 1 species